ACACGUAGGGGGCGAGCGUUGUUCGGAAUCAUUGGGCGUAAAGGGCGUGCAGGCGGUCCUGCAAGUCCGGCGUGAAAGACCCCGGCCCAACCGGGGGGACGCGCUGGAAACUGCAGGGCUUGAGUACAGGAGGGGAUGCCGGAAUUCCAGGUGUAGGGGUGAAAUCUGUAGAUAUCUGGAAGAACACCAAUGGCGAAGGCAGGCAUCUGGCCAUGUACUGACGCUGAGACGCGAAGGUGCGGGGAGCAAACAGGUUUAGAUACCCUGGUAGUCCGCACAGUAAACGAUGUGCACCAGGUGGCGGGGGGUCGACCCCCGGUACCGUAGCUAACGCAUUAAGUGCACCGCCUGGGGAGUAUGCUCGCAAGGGUGAAACUCAAAUGAAUUGACGGGG
rnacentral:rRNA from 1 species